rnacentral:rRNA from 1 species
AGUGAACGCUGGCGGUAGGCCUAACACAUGCAAGUCGAACGGCAGCACAGUAAGAGCUUGCUCUUACGGGUGGCGAGUGGCGGACGGGUGAGGAAUACAUCGGAAUCUACUUUUUCGUGGGGGAUAACGUAGGGAAACUUACGCUAAUACCGCAUACGACCUACGGGUGAAAGCAGGGGAUCUUCGGACCUUGCGCGAUUGAAUGAGCCGAUGUCGGAUUAGCUAGUUGGCGGGGUAAAGGCCCACCAAGGCGACGAUCCGUAGCUGGUGUGGGAGGAUGGUCAGCCACACUGGAACUGAGACGCGGUACAGACUCCUACGGGAGGCAGCAGUGGGGAAUAUUGGAAAAUGGGCGCAAGCCUGAUCCAGCCAUACCGCGUGGGUGAAGCAGGCCUUCGGGUGGUAAAGCGCUUUUGUUGGGAAAGAAAAGCAGCAGGUUAAUACCCCGCUGUUCUGACGGUACCAAAGAAUAAGCACCGGCUAACUUCGUG